CGCAACUGACGCUCAUGCUCGAAAGUGCGGGUAUCGAACAGGAUUAGAUACCCUGGUAGUCCGCACGGUAAACGAUGGAUGCCCGCUAUUUGUCCAUUAGGAUAAGUGGCCAAGUGAAAACGUUAAGCAUCCCACCUGGGGAGUACGCCGGCAACGGUGAAACUCAAAGGAAUUGACGGGGGCCCGCACAAGCGGAGGAACAUGUGGUUUAAUUCGAUGAUACGCGAGGAACCUUACCCGGGCUUGAAUUGUGAGAGAAGGAUCCAGAGAUGGUGACGCCCUUCGGGGCUCUCAUGAAGGUGCUGCAUGGUUGUCGUCAGCUCGUGCCGUGAGGUGUCGGCUUAAGUGCCAUAACGAGCGCAACCCCUCUCUUCAGUUGCCAUCAGGUUAAGCUGGGCACUCUGGAGACACUGCCACCGUAAGGUGUGAGGAAGGUGGGGAUGACGUCAAAUCAGCACGGCCCUUACGUCCGGGGCUACACACGUGUUACAAUGGGUGGUACAGAGAGUUGGGUGCCCGCAAGGUCACUCUAAUCAAUAAAUCCAUCCUCAGUUCGGACUGGGGUCUGCAACCCGACCCCACGAAGCUGGAUUCGCUAGUA
rnacentral:rRNA from 1 species